AAUAAUUCAAUAUUACGUAUAAUACGUUCAGUAUAAGAUUCUAAACUGAUAAAAGAAGCAAAAUGUGUAAUAUAUUAAGUCCCAGUCGAUUUGACGUCAUUUUUGCGGGCAUCGGCACAAUAUUAAUAUAUAUCCUUUUAAUUUCAUUGAGAGCUUCCAAAGAGACCAUUACCACAUACAAUAAAGCGGAGAUUGGGAUAUAUUGCUUUGCAAUUUUGUUUGGAAUAUUGCUUCUGCUUGGGGCAAUCUAUAGCACGUUAUGUCUCUUGUGGACUUCGGUGGCUAUAGGGAUUCCGCUAAAUAUUGCAUUAACUAUCGUAUAUAUUAUGAUAGUGAUCGAUAGCGAGAAGUUGCUCUAUAUUCUCCACUUUAUAGUAGCGGCAAUGUUUUUGUUUACUAUUAUCACUGCAGUGAUAUAUGCAUUGAAAUUGAAAAGAUUAGAAAAUGAAAUGUAAACCGUAUGAUACUGAAAUACUCCAAUGUAUUUUAAUUUAAUUUGUAAAAUUUUCUGUGUCCUUUUCGAAACCAUUUUAGAAGCUAUACAAAUUUGUCUGUUGAUUGAUGAAAUGAACGGCUUUUCCAGUGGAUAUGAAUUUCGCCUGACUUAAAGGGCGGAGCAGUCAUCCCCCGUUUGUUUUCAUUGAGUAUGGAGCCUCACUCUGGAAGCGAAAUCAAUGACAGAAAUAUGAAAUGAAAAUAUAAUUGGUAAUUUAUUGUGUCUACAGAUCGUUGUUGCAAAAUGCAAGCAAGCCAAGUAAAAUAAUAAAUGCACAUAUUCGGGUGUGCCUGCCUGGAUAUGCAUAUCCAUA